rnacentral:rRNA from 1 species
GGGUUGUGAGGUUAAGCGACUAAGCGUACACGGUGGAUGCCCUGGCAGUCAGAGGCGAUGAAGGGCGUACUAAUCUGCGAUAAGCGCCGGUAAGGUGAUAUGAACCGUUAUAACCGGCGAUACCCGAAUGGGGAAACCCAGUGUGAUUCGUCACACUAUCAUUAACUGAAUCCAUAGGUUAAUGAGGCGAACCGGGGGAACUGAAACAUCUAAGUACCCCGAGGAAAAGAAAUCAACCGAGAUUCCCCCAGUAGCGGCGAGCGAACGGGGAGGAGCCCAGAGCCUGAAUCAGCAUGUGUGUUAGUGGAAGCGUCUGGAAAGGCGCGCGAUACAGGGUGACAGCCCCGUACACAAAAGCGCAUGUGCUGUGAGCUCGAUGAGUAGGGCGGGACACGUGGUAUCCUGUCUGAAUAUGGGGGGACCAUCCUCCAAGGCUAAAUACUCCUGACUGACCGAUAGUGAACCAGUACCGUGAGGGAAAGGCGAAAAGAACCCCGGCGAGGGGAGUGAAAAAGAACCUGAAACCGUGUACGUACAAGCAGUGGGAGCACAGGUUUACCUGUGUGACUGCGUACCUUUUGUAUAAUGGGUCAGCGACUUAUAUUCUGUAGCAAGGUUAACCGAAUAGGGGAGCCGGAGGGAAACCGAGUCUUAAUUGGGCGUUAAGUUGCAGGGUAUAGACCCGAAACCCGGUGAUCUAGCCAUGGGCAGGUUGAAGGUUGGGUAACACUAACUGGAGGACCGAACCGACUAAUGUUGAAAAAUUAGCGGAUGACCUGUGGCUGGGGGUGAAAGGCCAAUCAAACCGGGAGAUAGCUGGUUCUCCCCGAAAGCUAUUUAGGUAGCGCCUCGUGAAUUCAUCUCCGGGGGUAGAGCACUGUUUCGGCUAGGGGGCCAUCCCGGCUUACCAACCCGAUGCAAACUGCGAAUACCGGAGAAUGUUAUCACGGGAGACACACGGCGGGUGCUAACGUCCGUCGUGAAGAGGGAAACAACCCAGACCGCCAGCUAAGGUCCCAAAGUCAUGGUUAAGUGGGAAACGAUGUGGGAAGGCCCAGACAGCCAGGAUGUUGGCUUAGAAGCAGCCAUCAUUUAAAGAAAGCGUAAUAGCUCACUGGUCGAGUCGGCCUGCGCGGAAGAUGUAACGGGGCUAAACCAUGC